rnacentral:rRNA from 1 species
GACGAACGCUGGCGGCGUGCUUAACACAUGCAAGUCGAACGGUGAAGCGCCUUCCUUUUUGGUGGGUGUGGAUGAGUGGCGAACGGGUGAGUAACACGUGAGUAACCUGCCCCCUUCUUCUGGAUAACCGCAUGAAAGUGUGGCUAAUACGGGAUAUUCUGGGUCUGUCGCAUGAUGGGUCUGGGAAAGAUAUUGUUUCGGUGGGGGAUGGGCUCGCGGCCUAUCAGCUUGUUGGUGGGGUGAUGGCCUACCAAGGCGGUGACGGGUAGCCGGCCUGAGAGGGUGGACGGUCACACUGGGACUGAGACACGGCCCAGACUCCUACGGGAGGCAGCAGUGGGGAAUAUUGCACAAUGGGGGCAAGCCUGAUGCAGCGACGCCGCGUGAGGGAUGGAGGCCUUCGGGUUGUGAACCUCUUUCGCCAGUGAAGCAGGCCUGCCUCGUUUGUGGGUGGGUUGACGGUAGCUGGAUAAGAAGCGCCGGCUAACUACGUG